rnacentral:rRNA from 1 species
AUUGAACGCUGGCGGCAGGCCUAACACAUGCAAGUCGAGCGGAUGAGGGAAGCUUGCUUCCCGAUUUAGCGGCGGACGGGUGAGUAAUGCCUAGGAAUCUGCCUAUUAGUGGGGGAUAACGUUCCGAAAGGAACGCUAAUACCGCAUACGUCCUACGGGAGAAAGUGGGGGAUCUUCGGACCUCACGCUAAUAGAUGAGCCUAGGUCGGAUUAGCUAGUUGGUGAGGUAACGGCUCACCAAGGCGACGAUCCGUAGCUGGUCUGAGAGGAUGAUCAGCCACACUGGAACUGAGACACGGUCCAGACUCCUACGGGAGGCAGCAGUGGGGAAUAUUGGACAAUGGGCGAAAGCCUGAUCCAGCCAUGCCGCGUGUGUGAAGAAGGUCUUCGGAUUGUAAAGCACUUUAAGCUGGGAGGAAGAGUUGUAAGCUAAUAUCUUGCAGCUUUGACGUUACCAACAGAAUAAGCACCGGCUAACUCUGUGCCAGCCGCCGCUGUAAGAC